rnacentral:sRNA from 1 species
GGAUGUGAGGGUGAUCUGUCUGCAACAUCUGUCACCCCAUUGAUUGCCAGGAUUGAUUUGGCUGAUUGACUGGCUAGGCGGUUAUCUGCUUCUUCCCUCACUGCUCCUUGUGCAUCCCUCCUGAAGCUGCACACUUGGUGCAAGAGGACAGCCAUCCUGGAUUCUGUUAACUAAUAUUUAUAUAAUGUCCCUGUCAUAAAGUGUUACAUGAAUAGAAGAAUCCCUGCGCUGGUACAACUGUGUUGUUCUUCCUUUCCAU